rnacentral:rRNA from 1 species
UACGUAGGGGGCAAGCGUUAUCCGGAUUUACUGGGUGUAAAGGGAGCGUAGACGGUUAUGCAAGUCAGAAGUGAAAGCCCAAAGCUCAACUUCGGGACUGCUUUUGAAACUGUGUAACUAGAGUGCAGGAGGGGUAAGCGGAAUUCCUAGUGUAGCGGAGAAAUGCGUAGAUAUUAGGAGGAACACCGGCGGCGAAGGCGGCUUACUGGACUGUAACUGACGUUGAGGCUCGAAAGCGUGGGGAGCAAACAGG